CAACAAGCAUCCAAAAAAACUAUGAUAACAAAAACUUAAUCGUCACAACUUUCAACAAUGGAUCUCUUGGUUCUGGCAUMGAUGAAGAACGCAGCGAAAUGCGAUAAGUAGUGUGAAUUGCAGAAUUCAGUGAAUCAUCGAAUCUUUGAACGCACAUUGCGCCCCUCGGUAUUCCGUGGGGCAUGCCUGUUCGAGCGUCAUUUACACCCUCAAGCUCUGCUUGGUGUUGGGCGUCUGUCCCCCGCCGAAAGGCGCGGACUCGCCCCAAAGGCAUUGGCAGCGGUCCCUGCCGGACUUCCCCAACAGCGCAGCACUGUUCGCGCGUCUGGGGAUCCGCGCGGGUCCAGCGUCCACGAAAAGCCCGAUUGCAUUGCAA
rnacentral:rRNA from 1 species